rnacentral:rRNA from 1 species
GACGAACGCUGGCGGCGUGCUUAACACAUGCAAGUCGAGCGGUAAGGCCCUUUCGGGGUACGACGAGCGGCGAACGGGUAGAGUAACACGUGGGUGACCUCGCCCUCAGCUCUGGGAGUAAGCCUGGGAAACCGGGGUCUAAUACCGGAUAUGACUCCAUGACGCAUGUUGUGGGGUGGAAAGCCUUGUGCGGCUGAGGAUGGGCCCGCGGCCUAUCAGCUUGUUGGUGGGGUGGAGGCCUACCAAGGCGACGACGGGUAGCCGG